AGCGGGGUGGGGUAGCCAGGUGAACCCGCUGGGCUCAUAACCCAGUGACCGGUCGUUCAAAUCGACCCCCCGCUACCA
rnacentral:tRNA from 1 species